rnacentral:rRNA from 1 species
AUAUCAAUAAGCGGAGGAAAAGAAACUAACAAGGAUUCCCCUAGUAACGGCGAGUGAAGCGGGAAAAGCUCAAAUUUGAAAUCGAAUAUCCUUCGGGUGUUCGAGUUGUAAUCUAGAGAAGUGUUUUCUGUGCUGGACUGUAUUCAAGUUCCUUGGAAUAGGAUAUCAAAGAGGGUGAGAAUCCCGUGCUUAAUACAAUCCCCAGUGCUCUGUGAUACACUUUCAAAGAGUCGAGUUGUUUGGGAAUGCAGCUCUAAAUGGGUGGUAAAUUCCAUCUAAAGCUAAAUAUUGGCGAGAGACCGAUAGCGAACAAGUACCGUGAGGGAAAGAUGAAAAGCACUUUGGAAAGAGAGUUAAAAGUAC